rnacentral:lncRNA from 1 species
GAGAAGCAUUAACUUGUCUUAUUUGUGGAAGAGUGUUAGACACAUGAUGAAGAGAAACCGUGGCACAAUUUUCUUGGGACCGGUUGCAGCGUCAACUUCUAUGCUUUGAGGCUGGAAAUAGUAUCUGUGAAUGAAGCAAGCUACAGGAACACUUCAAGCACAUUCAUUUUGUUCUUUUUGAAAUGAUGAAAACAGAGCCUUGGUUUUGUUGAAAGCUGGAGCACGUGGAAUGUAAGAAGCUACCGAAUUGAUAUUAACCAAUUUUUAUUGUUUUUAUGGGUGACGAAGUGACUACAUGGAAAGCAUAACAAUUAGCAUUUGGAUUUGCAUUUGAUUUUCGGCUGGAAUGGAGGGGGCAUUAAUUGCUUGGGAGGAGAUGUGCAUUUAUGAUUGGGAGAAAGAACACCCGCAAAUUGAGUUUUCUUUAGGAAGUGAUUGGACGUUUGGCAGCAAGUAGAAUUGAUGGGAUUUUCUUGGUUUCAUUUACUUUGAAGAAGUGCUGACAUUGAUUAAUUUCCGUGAAUGAGAAAUGCAAGGGUGCGGGUCCGGUGAUAUGAUGGUGCAUCAAUUUAAGUUUGCUUUGAAUGGAAAAAUUUUCAAUUAACAUAUUGGCUUGUUUCCGUGAAGCACUGCUGGAAUAUUUUAUUACAAUUUCAUUCAAUUCUUGGCUGGUGUGUGCACAUGGGUUGCGGAAAUUGGAAGGAGGCAGCAGCUGCCACGUUGUCCAGCAAAUCACUUUUGAGUAAAAACUCUAGUCUACGUGAGUGUUGCUGCAGAGAAGAGGUUCACGGUUCCAAUUUUAUCAAUUUUGUUUUCUUGGGUGAAUACCAUUUGGUCACGUGAGUGAUAGGAAAAAUAAUGUUGUUAUUUCUUUUGUUUAAUUUGGUUUAAAUAGUAAGUUGAAUCUUUAAUUUAGUUUUGNAUUUAAAUUAAUUUGAUAGAGUUAGAUAGUUGUGUGUUAUGGUGUUAGCGNCUAGAAUUUUAUUUUGUUUUGUUUGAAUGUGUUGCUUGCCUUUAUGUCUUUAUUGAGUCUUUUAAUUUUUGCAAAACCUUUUCAAAACCCCUCCCCUUUUUCCUGUUAGACUUGACGCUGAACCACAAAUUUGGUCCUUGGGAGACGACCUAGGGGUCAUUCCCUAGUUAUACUGCACUUUAAACUGCACAUCAAAUUUGAUUGGGCGGCGACACCCA